UACAGAGGGGGCGAGCGUUGUUCGGAAUUACUGGGCGUAAGGGGCGCGUAGGCGGCCCGCUAAGUCGAACGUGAAAUCCCCAGGCUCAACCUGGGAACUGCGUCCGAUACUGGAUGGCUUGAAUCCGGGAGAGGGAUGCAGAAUUCCAGGUGUAGCGGUGAAAUGCGUAGAUAUCUGGAGGAAUACCGGUGGCGAAGGCGGCAUCCUGGACCGGCAUUGACGCUGAGUGAGCGAAAGCCAGGGGAGCAAACGGG
rnacentral:rRNA from 1 species